ensembl:snoRNA
AAAGCACCAGUCUUUUUGCCAAUUGAGCUUAAUGUCUUUAUGGGCCAUCAAGUGGUACAAAGGAAAUAAUUCUUUUAAAAUGUAGUCAAUCUGGAUGUCUUGUAAUCAGCAGAGGAAACAAAU